ensembl:lncRNA
UUACAUUGUAACGACAGACCUAUGAUCCCAGCCAGUAGGAGAACACACAGCAGCCCCAGACACACUGCAGCAACUCCAGAGGGUCUCUUCCACCACUGAACAUGUACUGAAUAACACAUUAUUAAACAUCUUUGGUAAUGUGUUUUACUGUAUUAUCCAGGAUUGGGACAAAUACAUCUGUAGUACUACAGGGUAAUCUCAUGUGUUUAAUGUAUUGUGUGUGUCAUUUAUUUGCAUUUGCGUGUGAGUGUGUGUGUGUGUGUGUGUGUGUUACCUGAGUGCUGGUCUCCUGGUCCAUUAUUAGGAGCAGUGUCUGCUGUCUCUUCUCUCUUUGUGCUGGUCUCACCGUCUCUCAGGGUGUCUGCACUGACAUAGAUAUCCACAAUCCUCUCCUUCAUCUCACCUCUGUUAAACUUGACCUUCUUUGUCAUAUCUGGCACAGCAUAGAUGUCCUCAGACAUCUCCAAUAACUUAAUGUGCUUUCUGUCUGUACUCAGGUUCUGGUGCUAUCGUUGCCCCUUUGUCUGUGUCUGUCUCUGCUCUGAGUCUGUGUCUGUAUCUGUCUCUGUCUCUGCUCUGAGUCUGUGUCUGUGUAUGUCUCUGCUCUGAGUCUGUGUCUGUGUAUGUCUCUGCUCUGAGUCUGUGUCUGUGUCUGUCUCUGCUCUGUGUCUGUGUCUGUGUCUGUCUCUGACUCUGUUCUGUGUCUGUGUCUGUCUCUGCUCUGUGUCUGUGUCUGUCUCUGCUCUGAGUCUGUGUCUGUGUAUGUCUCUGCUCUGAGUCUGUGUCUGUGUAUGUCUCUGCUCUGAGUCUGUGUCUGUGUCUGUCUCUGCUCUGUGUCUGUGUCUGUCUCUGCUCUGAGUCUGCGACUAACUGCUGAUGAUGUCAUCCUCCUAAUAAAAGGGAAAUGUAGAAAGAGGAAGAUAAUACAAGUGUAACAUGGUGGUUGAGGUUGGGAGAUUUUCUGCACCAGUUUAUCUUUAUAGAUGAUUCCUGAGGACAGUGGACUUA